UACAGAGGUCCCGAGCGUUGCUCGGAAUCACUGGGCGUAAAGGGUGCGUAGGCGGGUCUUUAAGUCGAGGGGUGAAAUCCUGGAGCUCAACUCCAGAACUGCCUUUGAUACUGAAGAUCUUGAGUUCGGGAGAGGUGAGUGGAACUGCGAGUGUAGAGGUGAAAUUCGUAGAUAUUCGCAAGAACACCAGUGGCGAAGGCGGACUCACUGGCCCGAU
rnacentral:rRNA from 1 species